rnacentral:piRNA from 1 species
UAACAAGGUUUCAGAUUCUCAG